rnacentral:rRNA from 1 species
UGGGGAAUUUUGGACAAUGGGCGAAAGCCUGAUCCAGCAAUGCCGCGUGUGUGAAGAAGGCCUUCGGGUUGUAAAGCACUUUUGUCCGGAAAGAAAUCCUUGGCUCUAAUACAGUCGGGGGAUGACGGUACCGGAAGAAUAAGCACCGGCUAACUACGUGCCAGCAGCCGCGGUAAUACGUAGGGUGCAAGCGUUAAUCGGAAUUACUGGGCGUAAAGCGUGCGCAGGCGGUUUGCUAAGACCGAUGUGAAAUCCCCGGGCUCAACCUGGGAACUGCAUUGGUGACUGGCAGGCUAGAGUAUGGCAGAGGGGGGUAGAAUUCCACGUGUAGCAGUGAAAUGCGUAGAGAUGUGGAGGAAUACCGAUGGCGAAGGCAGCCCCCUGGGCCAAUACUGACGCUCAUGCACGAAAGCGUGGGGAGCAAACAGGAUUAGAUACCCUGGUAGUCCACGCCCUAAAACGAUGUCAACUAGUUGUUGGGGAUUCAUUUCCUUAGUAACGUAGCUAACGCGUGAAGUUGACCGCCUGGGGAGUACGGUCGCAAGAUUAAAACUCAAAGGAAUUGAC